rnacentral:rRNA from 1 species
GCCUAUGCCAAAAUACCCUAAAGGCACCAGAUCCAGUCUGAUGUUUGAAACUAAGCAAGGUCAGCCCUGGAUCGUACUUGAAUGGGAGACCACCAAUGAAUACCAACUGCUGGAGGCU